rnacentral:rRNA from 1 species
AGUGAACGCUGGCGGUAGGCCUAACACAUGCAAGUCGAACGGCAGCACAGUAAGAGCUUGCUCUUACGGGUGGCGAGUGGCGGACGGGUGAGGAAUACAUCGGAAUCUACUUUUUCGUGGGGGAUAACGUAGGGAAACUUACGCUAAUACCGCAUACGACCUACGGGUGAAAGCAGGGGAUCUUCGGACCUUGCGCGAUUGAAUGAGCCGAUGUCGGAUCAGCUAGUAGGCGGGGUAAAGGCCCACCAAGGCGACGAUCCGUAGCUGGUCUGAGAGGAUGAUCAGCCACAGUAGAACUGAGACACGGUCCAGACUCCUACGGGAGGCAGCAGUCGGGAAUAUUGGACAAUGGGCGCAAGCCUGAUCCAGCCAUACCGCGUGGGUGAAGAAGGCCUUCGGGUUGUGAAGCCCUUUUGUUGGGAAAGAAAAGCAGGAGGUUAAUACCCCGCUGUUCUGACGGUACCCAAAGAAUAAGCACCGGCUAACUUCGUG